rnacentral:rRNA from 1 species
UUAAAAAGCUCGUAGUUGGAUCUCGGCGGGCAGGGGGUGGUUCGCUCUUCAGCGCUACUGCCCCGCUUUGCCCGUGUGAUUGGCGGAGGUUUCGGGGUGCUCUUCGUUGAGUGACUCGGAGCGCCGUCAGGUUUACUUUGAAAAAAUUAGAGUGCUCAAAGCAGGCUUUUCACGCUUGGAAUAUUCGUGCAUGGAAUAAUGGAAUAGGAACUCGUUUCUAUUUUUGUUGGGUUUUCGGGAAAUCGAGUUAAUGAUUAACAGGGACAAUUGGGGGCAUUAGUAUUCAGACGACAGAGGUGAAAUUCUUGGACCGUCUGAAGACUGACUACUGCGAAAGCAUUU